AGGGUUUGAUCAUGGCUCAGAACGUACGCUGGCGGCACGCCUAACACAUGCAAGUCGAACGAAGUAGCAAUACUUAGUGGCAGACGGGUGAGUAACAUGUGGGUAUCUGCCCUUUGGCCUGGAAUAACACGAGGAAACUUGUGCUAAUACCGGAUAAGUCUUUACGGAGAAAGCUUUAUGCACCAUUGGAUGAGCCCGCACUUGAUUAGUUUGUUGGUGGGGUAAUGGCCUACCAAGACUGUGAUCAAUAGCUGAUUUGAGAGGAUGAUCAGCCACAUUGGGACUGAGACACGGCCCAAACUCCUACGGGAGGCAGCAGUGGGGAAUCUUGCACAAUGGAGGAAACUCUGAUGCAGCGAUGCCGCGUGAGUGAAGAAGGCCCUUGGGUUGUAAAGCUCUUUCGUCGGGGAAGAAAAUGACUGUACCCGAAUAAGAAGGUCCGGCUAACUUCGUGCCAGCAGCCGCGGUAAUACGAAGGGACCUAGCGUAGUUCGGAAUUACUGGGCUUAAAGAGUUCGUAGGUGGUUGAAAAAGUUAGUGGUGAAAUCCCAGAGCUUAACUCUGGAACUGCCAUUAAAACUUUUCAGCUAGAGUAUGAUAGAGGAAAGCAGAAUUUCUAGUGUAGAGGUGAAAUUCGUAGAUAUUAGAAAGAAUACCAAUUGCGAAGGCAGCUUUCUGGAUCAUUACUGACACUGAGGAACGAAAGCAUGGGUAGCGAAGAGGAUUAGAUACCCUCGUAGUCCAUGCCGUAAACGAUGUGUGUUAGACGUUGGAAAUUUAUUUUCAGUGUCGCAGCGAAAGCAAUAAACACACCGCCUGGGGAGUACGACCGCAAGGUUAAAACUCAAAUGAAUUGACGGGGACCCGCACAAGUAGUGGAGCAUGUGGUUUAAUUCGAAGAUACGCGCAGAACCUUACCAACACUUGACAUGUUCGUCGCGACUCUAAGAGAUUAGAGUUUUCGGUUCGGCCGGACGAAACACAGGUGCUGCAUGGCUGUCGUCAGCUCGUGUCGUGAGAUGUUGGGUUAAGUCCCGCAACGAGCGCAACCCUCACUUUUAGUUGCCAUCAUUAAGUUGGGCACUCUGAAAGAACUGCCAGUGAUAAGCUGGAGGAAGGUGGGGAUGACGUCAAGUCCUCAUGGCCCUUACGUGUUGGGCUACACACGUGCUACAAUGGUAUCUACAACAGGAAGCAAGACUGCGAGGUCAAGCAAAUCCUUAAAAGAUACCUCAGUUCGGAUUGCACUCUGCAACUCGAGUGCAUGAAGCUGGAAUUACUAGUAAUCGUGGAUCAGCGUGCCACGGUGAAUGCGUUCCCGGGUCUUGUACACACCGCCCGUCACACCAUGGGAGUUGGUUCUACCUUAAGGCAAGGUUUCAAACCCUUGACCACGGUAUAGUCAGCGACUGGGGUGAAGUCAUAACAAGGUAGCCGUA
rnacentral:rRNA from 1 species